rnacentral:pre_miRNA from 1 species
UUCUUUGGUUAUCUAGCUGUAUGAGUGGUUUCAACUUCAUAAAGCUAGGUUACCGGAGUU